GAUGAACGCUGGCGGCGUGCUUAACACAUGCAAGUCGAACGGAAAGGCCUUGCUUUUGUGGGGUGCGCGGGUGGCGAACGGGUGAGUAACACGUGAGUAACCGGCCCUUGACUUUGGGGUAACUUCAGGAAAGUGGGGCUAAUACAGGAUAGGAGCUCGUGCUGGAUGGUGGGGGGGGGAUAGUUUCGGCGGUUUGGGAUGGACUCGCGGCUUUUCAGCUUGGUGGUGGGGUAGUGGAUUACCAAGGCUUGGACGGGUCGCCGGCCUGAGAGGGUGACCGGCCACAUUGGGACUGAGAUACGGCCCAGACUCGUACGGGAGGCAGCAGUCGGGAAUAUUACACAAUGGGCGGAAGCCUGAUGCGGCAACGCCGCGUGCGGGAUGACGGCCUUCGGGUUGUAAACCGCUUUCGCCUGUGACGAAGCGUGAGUGACGGUAAUGGGUAAAGAAGCACCGGCUAACUACGUG
rnacentral:rRNA from 1 species